GUUGGCUUUGAUUAUUUUUUUAAUAAUUUUCACACCUGCUUCCGCCAGCCCAUUACUUUGGUGAUGUUCAGCACUUGAUUGUUUGGAGAUCCAAACAUUUCGAACAGAGUCUUAAAUCUAGUGAUCACAGCUUGUGAGAUCUGCUCCAAUUGUAUCCCACGGGUAUUGAGGGAUAUCUGAACUCAAUAAUGGCUCUUUGGAGUUUGGCUUGUUUUCCAAACAUGUUGGACACUUGGCUAUGAGGUUCUCAAUUUCUUUGCUGAUAUUGGGCCACCACAUGGCCUCUUGAGCUCUCUUCAUGCAUUUACUUACUGGAUACAGUUGGCGUUUGUCUGGCCAGCCUUGUAAUAUAUAUUGCUGUAUCUUCCUUGUAGUCGGGUCUGUCUGUUGAGCAGACUCAAUUGCUUGGAGACAUGGUGAUGUUAGGGGAAGUGAUAUUGCCACUGUGGCGAUCACUAGUUCUUCCACUGUAUCUUCAUCUAUAAUAUCUGCGUCUGGUUGCUGGAAUUUUAAUGGCGCUCUUGAAAGAAUGUCCGCAAGAUAAUUCAGUUUUCCAGGGAUGAAUUCCAU